AGUGUUGAAACUGUUGGCAAGUUACACCAGUUUUUUCAAUUUCUGGUUGAUGUGAUUUUCUCUGUGAGUAUGCAACCGAAGGACUGGUUUUUCGUAAUAGUGUUUACUGGAUACGUUUUGAUGAAGAAUUUUCUGAGAAGAAAUUUAAAUCUUCAAGCCCCUUUGGUAUAAAGUACAAGUUCCACCUUGAGGAUGCUGUUGAUUGUCCGGAGUGGAUUGUUCCUUUUCAUGUCUUCAAAUCAUUGGCAGAAGAGUAUGAUUUGGAGCUAGUUUUUGUAAAAAUUCGCAUGUAUUUGUGGAUGAAUACUUGAAAUCAAGUUAGAGUAGAUAAUAUUAAAAUGAUAGAUAUAUAAAUUUAUUCACAACAGUCCCUCCAAUUUGUUUAUCAUUUUUCUUUAAGAUGUAACAGACAUAUAUUCUUGCCAACUGCAGAUUCUUUGCCUCAUUGCUAUGGAGAAGCCUAUUUCUCUUACACCUGAGCAUAUUCGAGAUGAGAAAGUGAAGGUGCAUCAAUUAGUUUCUUAUGUCUUCUACUGAUAAUAUGUCGGUGGUCCCUUUCUAUCAAUCGGCUCAAGAUUGAAAAACUAUUGGAUGCCUUUUCUAGUAUGAGAGACAUAUCAAGAUUUAAGUAUUUCUUUUUUACUAUGGAAUGGAGAACAAAUGCGUGUAAAUGAAGGAGCUUUUCCCCUCGUCAUAUUGCUUUCAUUUCUUGCACUGGAGAAUACAAGGUGUUAUGCCAGUUCAUUGAUAGAGUGGAGAAACACCCGAGCAAGAAAAUUGAUGAGAAGAUUGGCCAAUUCUGGAUUGUAUUUUUUUCAUAAAAGAAUUUUUUCCAAGUUUUUAGUUGUAAUAACUUUUACA